UUUCCGUAGGUGAACCUGCGGAAGGAUCAUUAACGAGAGUUGCCCUCCGGGCAGACCUCCCACCCUCUGUGUACCAUACCCUUGUUGCCUUGGCAGGCCCGUCCUCGGACCGCCGGCUCACGCUGGCCCGCGCCUGCCAGAGGACCAACCAAACCCUGCUCUACGUGUCGUCUGAGUCAGCAAGCAAUAAUUAAAACUUUCAACAACGGAUCUCUUGGUUCUG
rnacentral:misc_RNA from 1 species